AGAGACUGAGUAGUAUUGGUUCCAGUCUCCCCCUACGUUUGUUGUGAGGUUGUCAAGUAAUGCCAUGUGCUAGUGAGUUGUAAAUAUAUUGAAACCUUUUCCCUCGUUGAAUACGCCUCACAGGUAAGCCUUCUUGUUGUGUUCCCAGCAUGUUGGGUUCACCAGGUCAAGCAUAGUGAAGUACCGGACGGACAGUGGACUCUUACACAGUCGUUUAUUGGACUAAAUCAUGUAAUCAGUCUAGCCGACUUGUUACAACACUUGUGGUGAAAACUAAAAAGGAAUGCAGGAUUUGUCUAAGGUGUGGUUUGCACACAAGUCCCUGCCAGAUUCUCAGAUGUUCAAGCUUUCCUUCUGUAUGAAGCAACUGGACAUAUUGUGGCUCCUCAGGAUGGGAUGUUAGUCUCUCUUAAUAGCCUUGCCCUUCAGUACAAAGCAAGGCCCAGGGAGGUACUGGACAAAGAAUUUUGGUUGCUCCCAGAGAACAUCUUCAGGAUGGAAUAUUGGUCUGUCUAUAGGCAACCCUUCUCCCCGAGCACUGAGCAAGGCUAAGGAAGGAAGUUAUUGGUACUGCUAUAGCAAUAUUUUGCCUUUUAUCAAAUGGAAAGUCAUUCCUCUGUAUGGUGGUGUACUUAUCACAAUCACUGAAUACAUUUAUUUUCCUAUUCCUUGAUAAAUAAGAAAUUAUGGGCUAAGAAUGCUGGAAGUAUUCUUUGGAUUUUUGUUAACUGUUAUGGCUGCAUCAUUCAGCUAUGAGUAUGUCAAAGUAAAGGCACAUCAGGAUGAAGUACUCAAAGGACUUUUUAUACCUUGGUGUGAAGACUGUGACAAUAAAAGUAUUUUACAGGCUGUGGGUAUCGUCGGAGCAGUCAUCAUGCCUCAUAACAUGUAUCUAGAUUCAGCUUUAGUUAAGAUUUGUAUACUUAAAGAAUAUGAAUUUUUAGUGGAAUAAUGCUGUUUUAAUUUACAAGUCCUCAAUUCCCUAUCCGGUAUUUAGGUAAACCUAUAAAAUGAAUACAAAAACAACACCACUAUGCUUAAAAAUGGGAAUGAAAAAAACAGAGCAUGGUCCAAUGCAACGCACUGGGGGGUGUCUCGAAAACUUAAAGACCUAAAACCUAAGACCUAAGACCUAAGACCCCUCGAAAACUAAGACCUUUCGAAAACUAAGACCCCUCGAAAACUAAGACCCCUCGAAAAUAGACUUUCUCAAAGUUGUUCGCUUAGUUUUCUGUUCAGGUGUGUUACGACCCGCAGGAACUUCGCUCGCGCCUCGCGCUCACUGUUGCGCUACGCGCUUAAAAGCGCGACUUGUGAGCAAGUCUAUGAAGGUGGAUCCUGGACAAAAUGUUCGAUUCGUCGUUUCG
rnacentral:lncRNA from 1 species